GUUAGCUGCUAUGGAAUAAAGCUAUGGACAAAGCUUAUUUGUUUAUUGUGCUACAUUCCCACGAAUAGUAUGAUAAAAUGUAAUGGUGUGGUUCCUACCUUCGUGUAUUUAUGCUUCUGUAUAUUUUUUGAAGUGAAUCACAUUUAAUGGAUUAUUUCUGUGCAAUGAUUAGUCAGGUGGUCAGCUGCCAUAACCAAACAACUUCUGCAACUUAUUGGAGUUAUUACUUUGCUUUCAUCAUGAUAUUCGGUUGUUCAUUGAUAGGAUGCUGUCAAUGAGGGAACAUUACAAAUGACACAACUCAAAUGUGUUGAAAAAACAUAGUUUUAUUCUGCUACUCUUUGUCUUUUCGUCGUGUCCUGCCUUGUCUGAGAAACACAGCAUGUGUGGUUUUGCAAACCCCUAACUAUUACCAUUUUGUCAGUCUUCUCAUCAUAUCUACUGAGGGAUUCAAAUGGCAAGAUUUUGUGUUGAGGAGUGAGCCUGUGGAGUUAACAGUGCAAUGAAUGCCGGCACUGUAGGAAGGUCCCCAAUUAAACAGAACUACUGGAUUGCAAUACAUCAUGACAUUGUCAUGCCCUUGGACCACUCAUCAUUUCGUCUUUCUUUCAUUUCUACUUUUCAGCCAACACACAUCUUGGCCUCACCCGUCGCCUAGUCUUUGCCUCGCCCCGUCUUCGUCCCGCCCGUCGCCCCGUCUUCGUCCCGUCCGUCGCCCCGUCUUCGUCCCGUCCGUCGCCCCAUCUUCGCCUCGCCCGUCGCCCCAUCUUCGCCUCGCCCGUCGCCCCGUCGUCGCCUCGCUUCUCCCCUCGUCAUGGCCUCGGAGUCGCCACGUCAUUGCCUCAUCUUUGUGGUAUCAUUGUAUUUUGUAAUGUUGUAUAGUGCUAACUAACACGCUGGCUGCCACGCCUCUUAGAUCCCCUUUUUUUUUUAGCUGUAUAGGGACGGGCCGCGCUGUUCUGCCUCAUGGCCUAUCUGCCAUGAGGUGGGGCAGUUGCCACUGCCCAAGAUUGGCCGUAAGGCUUUUUAGGCAACGCACCGUAGGGACUCCCUUUUGUCGAUGUGUGGUGGAGACCCGGGAUGUGCGUUUCCACAACGGUCUCCACCAUCACAUCAGCCCGGACUUGUCAGCGGACAGUCCCCCUUGGUCGCUAUCUCUCUGAUAGCGACGUAGGUAGUGUAGUUGUUAGUGGCGUGGCAGCCAGCCUGUUAGUUAGUUAUGUAUGUAUGUAUGCCUUGUAUUGUAUUUUAAAAUGUAAAUAU